rnacentral:rRNA from 1 species
CGUAGGUGAACCUGCGGAAGGAUCAUUACAGUAUUCUUUUGCCAGCGCUUAACUGCGCGGCGAAAAACCUUACACACAGUGUCUUUUUGAUACAGAACUCUUGCUUUGGUUUGGCCUAGAGAUAGGUUGGGCCAGAGGUUUAACAAAACACAAUUUAAUUAUUUUUACAGUUAGUCAAAUUUUGAAUUAAUCUUCAAAACUUUCAACAACGGAUCUCUUGGUUCUCGCAUCGAUGAAGAACGCAGCGAAAUGCGAUAAGUAAUAUGAAUUGCAGAUUUUCGUGAAUCAUCGAAUCUUUGAACGCACAUUGCGCCCUCUGGUAUUCCAGAGGGCAUGCCUGUUUGAGCGUCAUUUCUCUCUCAAACCCCCGGGUUUGGUAUUGAGUGAUACUCUUAGUCGGACUAGGCGUUUGCUUGAAAAGUAUUGGCAUGGGUAGUACUAGAUAGUGCUGUCGACCUCUCAAUGUAUUAGGUUUAUCCAACUCGUUGAAUGGUGUGGCGGGAUAUUUCUGGUAUUGUUGGCCCGGCCUUACAACAACCAAACAAGUUUGACCUCAAAUCAGGUAGGAAUACCCGCUGAACUUAAGCAUAUCAAUAAGCGGAGGAAAAGAAACCAACAGGGAUUGCCUUAGUAGCGGCGAGUGAAGCGGCAAAAGCUCAAAUUUGAAAUCUGGCGCCUUCGGUGUCCGAGUUGUAAUUUGAAGAUUGUAA